rnacentral:rRNA from 1 species
CCUACGGGAGGCAGCAGUGAGGAAUAUUGGUCAAUGGGCGGGAGCCUGAACCAGCCAAGCCGCGUGAGGGAAGAAGGCUCUCUGUAUCGUAAACUUCUUUUGUCCGGGAGCAAACGCAGAUACUCGUCUCUGUCUGAGAGUAUCUUAAGAAUAAGCAUCGGCUAACUCCGUGCCAGCAGCCGCGGUAAUACGGAGGAUUCCAGCGUUAUCCGGAUUUAUUGGGUUUAAAGGGUGCGUAGGCGGUCGGGUAAGUUAGCGGGUAAAUGCCGAGGCUCAACUCCCGACUUGCCUCUGAUACUGGCGGGCUAGAGAUGAGGUGAGGUACGCGGAAUGCAUGGUGUAGCGGUGAAAUGCUUAGAGAUCAUGCAGAACACCGAUUGCGAAGGCAGCGUACCAGCCU